rnacentral:rRNA from 1 species
ACGGGUGAGGAAUACAUCGGAAUCUACUCUGUCGUGGGGGAUAACGUAGGGAAACUUACGCUAAUACCGCAUACGACCUACGGGUGAAAGCAGGGGAUCUUCGGACCUUGCGCGAUUGAAUGAGCCGAUGUCGGAUUAGCUAGUUGGCGGGGUAAAGGCCCACCAAGGCGACGAUCCGUAGCUGGUCUGAGAGGAUGAUCAGCCACACUGGAACUGAGACACGGUCCAGACUCCUACGGGAGGCAGCAGUGGGGAAUAUUGGACAAUGGGCGCAAGCCUGAUCCAGCCAUACCGCGUGGGUGAAGAAGGCCUUCGGGUUGUAAAGCCCUUUUGUUGGGAAAGAAAUCCAGCUGGCUAAUACCCGGUUGGGAUGACGGUACCCAAAGAAUAAGCACCGGCUAACUUCGUGCCAGCAGCCGCGGUAAUACGAAGGGUGCAAGCGUUACUCGGAAUUACUGGGCGUAAAGCGUGCGUAGGUGGUCGUUUAAGUCCGUUGUGAAAGCCCUGGGCUCAACCUGGGAACUGCAGUGGAUACUGGGCGACUAGAGUGUGGUAGAGGGUAGCGGAAUUCCUGGU